rnacentral:lncRNA from 1 species
AUUGAAAAGUUAAGUGACAAACAAUGUCAACCUGUGUCGCAGCUGAAGUUUGUGACAGAUGCUUGGCUGCAGGUACUACAGUUUCUCCUCGUACUUGGAUAUGAUCGACGCAGCUUUUGUGAAGAAUCAUAUGAUAGCAAUGUUACCUGGUAGGUUUCCAUUGAGUCAUUAGAAAUGUUGAUGCCUUGUGCAGAUUGUAGAGUGCCGACGCGUAUUGAAAUGGACAUAUGCUUAUGGGUAUUACUUACCUGAGAACGAGCAUACGAAGAGGCAGUUCUUUGAAUAUUCUCAAGGUGAGGCAGAAGCUGGUUUAGAGCGCCUCCAUCAGUGUGCCGAGAAGGACUUGCAGACAUUCCUUGAAGGAGACAAUCCCACCAGCUCAUUCAAUGAUUUCC